UACGGAGGGUGCAAGCGUUAAUCGGAAUUACUGGGCGUAAAGCGUGCGUAGGCGGUUUGUUAAGUCUGCUGUGAAAGCCCCGGGCUCAACCUGGGAAUGGCAGUGGAUACUGGCAAGCUAGAGUGUGGUAGAGGAAGGUGGAAUUCCCGGUGUAGCGGUGAAAUGCGUAGAGAUCGGGAGGAACAUCAGUGGCGAAGGCGGCCUUCUGGACCAACACUGACGCUCAGGCACGAAAGCGUGGGGAGCAAACAGG
rnacentral:rRNA from 1 species